rnacentral:rRNA from 1 species
AGCAGCCGCGGUAAUUCCAGCUCCAAUAGCGUAUAUUAAAGUUGUUGCAGUUAAAAAGCUCGUAGUUGAAUUUCGGGAUUGACGUGAUGGUCGUGCCUUAAGGGGUAUGAACUGUCGCUGUUGAUUUCUCACCUUCUGGAGAAACUUGAUGUCCUUAAUUGGGUGUCUUGCGGAUCCAGGACCUUUACCUUGAAAAAAUUAGAGUGUUUAAAGCAGGCAUUUUUGCUCGAAUACAUUAGCAUGGAAUAAUAGAAUAGGACGGCAUGGUUCUAUUUUGUUGGUUUCUAGGAUCACCGUAAUGAUUAAUAGGGAUAGUUGGGGGCAUUAGUAUUCAAUUGUCAGAGGUGAAAUUCUUGGAUUUAUUGAAGACUAACUACUGCGAAAGCAUUUGCCAAGGAUGUUUUCAUUAAUCAAGAACGAAAGUUAGGGGAUCGAAGACGAUCAGAUACCGUCGUAGUCUUAACCAUAAACUAUGCCGACUAGGAAUCAGACGAUGUUAAUUUUUUAAUGACUCGUUUGGCACCUUACG